GCAGCUCAGCCGGUAGAGCAUGAGGCUCUUAAUCUCAGGGUCGUGUGUUCAAGCACCAUGUUGGGUG